rnacentral:rRNA from 1 species
CCUGGCUCAGAACGAACGCUGGCGGCAAGCUUAACACAUGCAAGUCGAACGGACCGUAUACGCAGCUUGCUGCGUGUAUGGUUAGUGGCAGACGGGUGAGUAAUGCAUAGGAAUCUACCUAGUAGUAUGGGAUAGCCACUAGAAAUGGUGGGUAAUACUGUAUAAUCCCUGCGGGGGAAAGAUUUAUCGCUAUUAGAUGAGCCUAUGUCAGAUUAGCUAGUUGGUGGGGUAAUGGCCUACCAAGGCGGUGAUCUGUAGCUGGUCUGAGAGGAUGAUCAGCCACACUGGAACUGAGACACGGUCCAGACUCCUACGGGAGGCAGCAGUGGGGAAUAUUGGACAAUGGGCGCAAGCCUGAUCCAGCUAUGCCGCGUGAGUGAGGAAGGCCUUAGGGUUGUAAAACUCUUUCAGUAGGGAAGAUAAUGACGGUACCUACAGAAGAAGUCCCGGCAAACUCCGUGCCAGCAGCCGCGGUAAUACGGAGGGGGCAAGCGUUGUUCGGAAUUAUUGGGCGUAAAGGGCAUGUAGGCGGUUUGGUAAGUUAAAGGUGAAAUACCGGGGG